rnacentral:tRNA from 15 species
GCCCAGGUGGCGGAAUUGGUAGACGCGUCAGCUUGAGGGGCUGGUGGCCGUAUGGUCGUGAAAGUUCGAGUCUUUUCCUGGGCACCC